CCCAUAGCUCAGUUGGUCAGAGCGGUCGGCUCAUAACCGAUUGGUCCUAGGUUCGAGUCCUAGUGGGC
rnacentral:tRNA from 1 species